GUGUGUGUGUGUGUGUGUGUGUGUGUGUGUGUGUGUGUGUGUGUGUGUGUGUGUGUGUGUGUGUGUGUGUGUGUGUGUGUGUGUUUGUGUGUCAGAAUAGAAAUUUUAUCCCACGGCUGAAUUCAUGCAUGUGAGAAUUUUUAAUCCCUGGUUAUCGCUGGUUCCAGCGUAGGAAUUUAAAUCCUACCAAUGAAACCAAGUGUAAGAUUUCUUAAGUGUCACCAAAGUCUGAUUUACGUUUUUCAUAUGCAAAAGAAAAAAUAUUUUUACUAGAUUACUGCUGCCCAUUUGUCGAUAUCAAUUCUAAUACGAAAAGUCAAGGUUUGUGACCUUGAUUUUGCCCAGUGUUAUUCCACAUUGACUUUCGAUAGUAACUCUGCCCAUUAUUCAGUCCAUGCAAUUAUUGAAAAGUGUUGGUGCAAGGACACAGCCUUGCCUCGCUCAUGGGUUAACAGGGAAGAAGUUUAACAGGCCCCCACCACACUUUACCGCACUUUCCGUACUAGUAUAAGGGCUUGCUCAUAAAUCAGUAAUCCGUGUCAGAAUUCCCUUAAGUCUCAGGGUCUCCCAUAGCGAUUUGCGAACAACUGAGUCAAUCGCCUUCUUGUGGCUCACGACCAAAUUCCCGACGGCGUUUCACGAUGACUCCAUUGUGGACUUGCCAAGGAGUAAAUCCAGACUGCUCUGGUCUUAGAUGCCUUAGCUGUGGCCACAGAUCCAUUCAGAAAAAUAUGGGUAAAAUCCUUGCUUGGUUUACUGAGCAGAGUAAUGCCACGGCAAUUGCUAAAGUCCCAAUGGUCCCCUUUUCCCUUCCAGACAUUUAUAACCAAUACACCUUUUAAAUGUCGAAACAAUACCGAUCUCGACCUCUAUAUGUGUGUGUGUGUGUGUGAGAGAGAGAGAGAGAGAGAGAAAGAGAAAGAGAGAGUGUGACUGAGUGAGUGAGAGAGGGGAAGUGGGAGAGGGUAUCAAUGAGAGAAUUUCUUGAGCACCGCUUGCUAAGUGGCCUCAGUGCAAGUGAAUGAAAGGGAUUUUAUUGUACUGGUUUAUUGCUGAAAGUACAUGUGAGACCCCCAAGAGACCGCCUGUGUCCCGGAGUCGAGGACGAAGUGGUGGAACCAGACCCUGUGUAGUUUGGUCUGUCUGCUGUGUCUCUCCCUCUCUUUCUCCGCCUCUUGUCUUGUCUACAUGUCCUUUUAUGCGGCGGCUCCCUUCGAGGGCGGAUGCUUAAUUACAUUGUAGAAGUGACAAAAGAGAAAGCAGAGCGGGCACUUGCGUCUCCCCAAGGAGGAAAUGCAGCUACUAGGGACUGAGGUGUGAAACGUACCAUCCGGUCUAGCUAUGUAUUGUUUACGGAGGGACAGAUGUACAUAGACUUAGAUUGAAUAGAGAGAAAGCGAAAGGAAAGAGGGAGAGCAAGAGGAACAAGGUAGGACUGGGAGAACGAGAGCAGAGAGAAAUGAAAAGAGAGGGAGGCAAAGAAGGAGCAAACAAUAGACUGAGGUAUUUGGACUUGAUACAAGAUAUAUGCACAUAGGAGUCAGAAAUGUUUUUAUCGAUGCACUAAAGUUUACCACAACGUCUCUGUCUCCUGUUCACUUCACCCAAACACAGCAUUCUUCCCUUAUCCUGCAGCUUCCUACGUGUCUCUCCCCGAUAUUCUUCUUGACAGAAUUUUCAGACAUUCUAGUAUUCCAGGAUUUCCUUUAAGGCAAAAAAAUGAAGAUGAUCCGCAGAACUCCCAUGAUCAUGAAUGCAUAGGUAGAUUCACAGACUUUUCUUGUCUAUAUGUCGGUGGAUUCAUUUUACCGCAACAAUUGUUACGUGUGUAAUUGGUCCUACGCAAACGAGCGUAACCAGAGGUUUUCGGUGCGUAAAAGGCCUGAGGGUAAGUCGAAGGUGACGUCACGCCUAGAGUACAAGGGAUAGGCCUCGCUCUCAUUGCACCCACCGGGGAUAGGCCUCACUCUCAUUGCACCCACCGGGGAUAGGCCUCACUCUCAUUGCACCCACCGCACUCGUAAGUUGCCUCCUCCAAGAGGAAAUGCUUUUUCUUUGUAAAUAUUUGAAAUAACUUUGAGAUGUUUUAUUCUGAUUUUUACCUUUUGUUGUUUCAGCCUUUUUUGUUGGUUGUCUAUUCCGACCUUUAAAUUAAAUAGAAUAUUUCAAGACCUCUUCUAGGGAGAAACCCUGGAACCUUGAAGCUGGAACUUGUGGAUUUAUUAAAGGAUAUUACGUUAUUUGUACCUUCUAUCUGUUAUUGUACAUUUGUUAUUACCUAUACAUAUAUACUUUCCAUAUAUGCUGUGUAAAAUAAACCUUUUUUAUUUUCA
rnacentral:lncRNA from 1 species